AUUGCCUAUGACGGCUCACGAGCCCAACCUGCCCGGGUUUAUUGUUCGGAGUUUGCUCUCCUAGGUGUAUUACCUAUGACGGCUCACGAGCCCAACCUGCCCGGGUUUAUUGUUCGGAGUUUGCUCUCCUAGGUGUAUUACCUAUGACGGCUCACGAGCCCAACCUGCCCGGGUUUAUUGUUCGGAGUUUGCUCUCCUAGGUGUAUUACCUAUGACGGCUCACGAGCCCAACCUGCCCGGGUUUAUUGUUCGGAGUUUGCUCUCCUAGGUGAAUUGCCUACCACGGCUAACGAACCUCACCUGCCCGGGUAUGUUGUUCGGAGUUUGCUCUCCUAGGUGAAUUGCCUACCACGGCUAACGAACCUCACCUGCCCGGGUUUGUUGUUCGGAGUUUGCUCUCCUAGGCAGAUUGCCUGCCACGGCUAACGAGCCCCACCUGCCCGGCGUUGUAGCCGAAAGAUCUCCGGCACCUCCGUCGGGGUCCCGAUGGACGCCGAGGCGCCCGGGCGGGAGCCCUUCAGUCCUGCCAUGCUCGCCUGGGAGACCUUGGGCUCGCUGGCGCUCCACCGCCCCGCCGAUUCGAAUAGGGCGGAUGCAAGAACUCGCUUCUUAAAACUACCAGACUGGAUUAUAAAAUUAAUCAUAAAU